UACGGAGGGGGCUAGCGUUGUUCGGAAUUACUGGGCGUAAAGCGCACGUAGGCGGCUUUGUAAGUUAGAGGUGAAAGCCCGGAGCUCAACUUCGGAAUUGCCUUUAAGACUGCAUCGCUUGAAUCAUGGAGAGGUCAGUGGAAUUCCGAGUGUAGAGGUGAAAUUCGUAGAUAUUCGGAAGAACACCAGUGGCGAAGGCGACUGACUGGACAUGUAUUGACGCUGAGGUGCGAAAGCGUGGGGAGCAAACAGG
rnacentral:rRNA from 1 species